rnacentral:rRNA from 1 species
UGGGGAAUAUUGCACAAUGGGCGCAAGCCUGAUGCAGCCAUGCCGCGUGUAUGAAGAAGGCCUUCGGGUUGUAAAGUACUUUCAGUCGGGAGGAAGGUGUCAAGGUUAAUAACUUUGGCAAUUGACGUUACCGACAGCAGAAGCACCGGCUAACUCCGUGCCAGCCGCCGCGGUAAUACGGAGGGUGCAAGCGUUAAUCGGAAUUACUGGGCGUAAAGCGCACGCAGGCGGUUGGUUGAGUCAGAUGUGAAAUCCCCGGGCUUAACCCGGGAAUUGCAUCUGAUACUGGUUAGCUAGAGUCAUGGAGAGGGGGGUAGAAUUCCAUGUGUAGCGGUGAAAUGCGUAGAGAUGUGGAGGAAUACCGGUGGCGAAGGCGGCCACCUGGACAAAGACUGACGCUCAGGUGCGAAAGCGUGGGGAGCAAACAGG